rnacentral:rRNA from 1 species
GAACUUAAGCAUAUCAAUAAGCGGAGGAAAAGAAACCAACAGGGAUUACCUCAGUAACGGCGAGUGAAGCGGUAACAGCUCAAAUUUGAAAUCUGGGUCUUUUAGGCUCCGAGUUGUAAUUUGUAGAAGAUGCUUCGGGUGUGGCUCCGGUCUAAGUUCCUUGGAACAGGACGUCAUAGAGGGUGAGAAUCCCGUAUGUGACUGGUUGCCUUCGCCCAUGUGAAGCUCUUUCGACGAGUCGAGUUGUUUGGGAAUGCAGCUCAAAAUGGGUGGUAAAUUUCAUCUAAAGCUAAAUAUUGGCCAGAGACCGAUAGCGCACAAGUAGAGUGAUCGAAAGAUGAAAAGCACUUUGGAAAGAGAGUUAAACAGUACGUGAAAUUGUUGAAAGGGAAGCGCUUGCAACCAGACUUGCACGUUGCUGAUCAUCUAGGGUUCUCCCUAGUGCACUCGGUAACGUUCAGGCCAGCAUCGAUUUGAGUGGUGGGAUAAAGGCCUUGGGAAUGUAGCUUCUUUCGGGGAGUGUUAUAGCCCUCGGUGCAAUGCCGCCUAUUCGGAUCGAGGACCGCGCUUCGGCUAGGAUGCUGGCGUAAUGGUUGUAAGCGACCCGUCUUGAAACACGGACCAAGGAGUCUAACAUCUAUGCGAGUGUUUAGGUGUCAAACCCAUACGCGUAAUGAAAGUGAACGGAGGUGAGAACCCUUAAGGGUGCAUCAUCGACCGAUCCUGAUGUCUUCGGAUGGAUUUGAGUAAGAGCAUAGCUGUUGGGACCCGAAA